rnacentral:rRNA from 1 species
GGCGCACGGGUGCGUAACGCGUAUAGAACCUACCUUUUACAGAGGAAUAGCCUUUAGAAAUGAAGAUUAAUGCCUCAUGGUAUUGUAGACUGGCAUCAGUUUAUAAUUAAAGAUUUAUCGGUAAAAGAUGGCUAUGCGUCCUAUUAGUUAGUUGGUAAGGUAACGGCUUACCAAGACAGCGAUAGGUAGGGGUCCUGAGAGGGAGAUCCCCCACACUGGUACUGAGACACGGACCAGACUCCUACGGGAGGCAGCAGUGAGGAAUAUUGGACAAUGGAGGAGACUCUGAUCCAGCCAUGCCGCGUGUAGGAAGAAUGCCCUAUGGGUUGUAAACUACUUUUAUACAGGAAGAAACACUGGUAUGUAUACCAGCUUGACGGUACUGUAAGAAUAAGGACCGG